GGGGGGUUGCAGAGACAUUCAUAGGCAUGAUAAUAAUGUAUUUUUCCUUGUGAUGUGUGUGUAGAUUCGUGCUAUGGACCUGUCUACAGGGGAGUUUGGUACAGCGGCCCUCUCUGUCCUGGUUAUACCAGCCGUGGCGGUUCCCUUGCCUUCUGGGGCAGGGUACCGGGCGGGGGACAUGGCUCUGCUAGGAUUGGUCAUGGCAGCCAUCUUGGUUCUCUGCUUCAUCGUGAUUGGCUUCCUGAUCUCCCGCCUGAAGAAAGGAGGCACCAACCUGGACAACAUAACUGAGUGUUUGGCUCCAUGUCUGAAGAUGGCGAGACCCCAUGGGAGACCCAAGGACACCCUGCAGUACACCAACGAUGGCUACCAGGGUACCGAGGGUGAUGCCCUGCGCGGCGGACCCAGACGUCCAGAGCCGGUAGACAAGAGAGGCCGAGGUGCUACUGUCCCUGGGGACAGAGGCAGGGCCAUCCCCCUGGAGCGACGCCGGAGCGACCGCCACUGUGGCUUCUGCGGCCUGUACGCCAACCACAACCACCAUGCCAAGCCCAGCCCGGCCAGCAGCCCUGCUAGGGGAGGGGGGAGAGGAGGAGGAGACAAGGACGGGAUGAGAUCCAUCCUCGCCAAGGGGGGAAGGAAGGAAGGAGGGAAGUCAGUGUGGUUUAAGGAGAACGAGGAUGCUUCUGGGAUCGAAGUGGAGAUCAUCCCGGAUACUCUGUGUCAGGAGGAGGAGACUGAGGAGGAGGUGUUGGACAUGGAAGAGAUGGAGGGGGGAGACAGGAGCAUGGCUAGCCAGACAGAGAUCGAUGGUGGGCAUGGGGACCAGGAGAGCCAUGGAGAGUCUGACUCAGCUGCUAAAGAGGAAAAAGAGAAGGAGGGUUGAGAGGAGACGAUAUCUGGGUUAUAUUAAAUAGGGAGAGGAUAUCUGGGUUAUAGUCUAUAGGGAGAGGAUAUCUGGGUUAUAUUCUAUAGGCAGGAGGAUAUCUGGGUUAUAUUCUAUAGGGAGAGGAUAUCUGGGUUAUAUUCUAUAGGGAGAGGAUAUCUGGGUUAUAUUCUAUAGGGAGAGGAUAUCUGGGUUAUAUUCUAUAGGCAGGAGG
rnacentral:lncRNA from 8 species